CCUGCUCUUGUUGGAAGCCAGUGGUGUGAUGUGGAAGGUCUUCUGGAAGCGACCACCUGGCUGGAUGGGACAGCCCUCGUUGGUCUGCAGUGAGGCCACCUGCAACCAUUAUCAGAGCAAGAAAUGGGAAGCACAUGUUUAUGGUGCAUCCAACAAAAUGAACAAAUGGAUGUCACUACUGCCCGGCUCCGGCUGCGUUACAAGUAUCUCUGGAAAGUCACGUCAGCAUCACCAGCUGAUGGAAGGAACUACAUAUAAACUCGGCCAGAUGACCUUGCGUCAUUAUGUGCUCGAAUGCGAUAAAACUAAUGAAUUCGGAGACUCACAAAUGUUCAAGAAAUGUCAAAAUGUCUUAUCUAUAGUGGCAUAUUACCAACUAUUCUUGAAAAAUACCCUAACUUUUGCCCGUUGUGAAUAAAUGAAAACUACUUAAACUUGUUCAAAUUCAACCAAGUCUUGCUAAAAUAUAAGGUAUUAUAAAUAAUUCAAAACAAUGUAUGAGCUACACUAUAAUAUCGUUUUGAGAAUUCAUGUCUGUAUAAAUAACUCAUUACUAUUGUAACCAGAUAUAAACAAGUAAAUGGUUCAUUACCAGUGUAACUUGCUUUAUGAAAAUGUACUCUAUAGUGUAGGGAUAGAGUAAUGGUUAAUGACUUUUAACUUUCCAUCGUGGAAAUAGUGCAGGGAUUUAGAUGUACUUCAUGUUAUAAACUGACCCAUUCCAAGACCUUUUUUGCCCCUAUGGCUGUAUAGCCCUUGUGGCUUAGCGCUUCUUUUUUAUUAUAAUAAAUUUUGACCCUAUGA